AUUUAUUCAUCUUAAGUGUGAUGAUUGGGUUUUCACACUCAUGAGUGAGAUGUGCCUCCUUCAAACCUUGUUACAAGGACAACAUAUUAGUUGUCUGACG
ensembl:snoRNA